rnacentral:rRNA from 1 species
UGGCGACCGGCGCACGGGUGAGUAACGCGUAUGCAACCUACCUAGUCAGAGGGGAAUAACCCGGCGAAAGUCGGACUAAUACCGCAUAAAACAGGGGCACCGCAUGGUGAUAUUGUUAAAGAAAUUCGCUGAUAGAUGGGCAUGCGUUCCAUUAGGUAGUUGGUGAGGUAACGGCUCACCAAGCCGACGAUGGAUAGGGGAACUGAGAGGUUGGUCCCCCACACUGGUACUGAGACACGGACCAGACUCCUACGGGAGGCAGCAGUGAGGAAUAUUGGUCAAUGGGCGGGAGCCUGAACCAGCCAAGUCACGUGAAAGGAAGAAGGAUCUAUGGUUCGUAAACUUCUUUUGCAGGGGAAUAAAGUGCAGGACGUGUCCUGUUUUGUAUGUACCCUGAGAAUAAGGAUCGGCUAACUCCGUGCCAGCAGCGGC